rnacentral:tRNA from 1 species
AAAAGCUUAGUUAUUUAUUAAUGUAGGUCUGUCAGUCCUAAGAUAUCUUUUGGAUAGCUUUUG